AAAACUUUGGGUUUUGGGGGUACCCCGAGGGAAAACGUUGUGUUUUGGAGGUGCCCGGAGGGAAAAUGGUGGGGUUUGGGGGUGCCCAGAGGGAAAAUGGCAGGUUUUGGGGGUGCCCAGAGGGGGAACGGCGGGUUUUGGGGGUGCCCAGAGGGAAAAUGGUGGGGUUUGAGGGUGCCCAGAGGGAAAACGGCGGUUUUUGGGGGUGCCCGGAGGGAAAAUGGUGCAUUUAGUGGUGUCUGGAUGAAAAGCAGCAUGCUUUGAGGGUGCGCAGCUAAAAAACAGCAAGUUUGAGGGGCACACGGAGAGAAAACAGCAUAUUUUGGGGACACUCGGAUAGAAGACAGCACUUUUUUUUUUUUUAAAGGUGCUGGGAAGGAAAGUGGGACAUUUUGUGGAUUUUUAGACAAAGUAGGGAAUUUAAGGGUGCAGGGAAGGUGAGCAGCGUGUUGGAGCCCUCUCCUUCCCCCCCAAAAAAAAUUACAGAAAUCCCCUCAGGACAAGCAGGAAGCGAAGAAACCCCCCCAGAACCCCCCGGUGGAGCCUGGGGGGGGGGGGGGGUCUCGGGGCGACCCCCCCGGGUGUUCCCCCCCCCCGCCCCCAACCAU